rnacentral:rRNA from 1 species
UACGGAGGGUGCAAGCGUUAAUCGGAAUUACUGGGCGUAAAGCGUGCGCAGGCGGUUUUGUAAGACCGAUGUGAAAUCCCCGGGCUUAACCUGGGAACUGCAUUGGUGACUGCAAGGCUUGAGUGUGUCAGAGGGAGGUGGAAUUCCGCGUGUAGCAGUGAAAUGCGUAGAUAUGCGGAGGAACACCGGUGGCGAAGGCGGAUCUCUGGGCCUUACCUGACGCUGAGGCGCGAAAGCUAGGGGAGCAAACAGG